rnacentral:rRNA from 1 species
UGAAGUAAGUAAGGGCGUACGGUGAAUGCCUUGGUGCCAACAGGCGAAGAAGGACGCGGCAAGCUGCGAAAAGCCUCGGGAAGCUGCAAGCAAGCGAUGAUCCGGGGAUAUCCGAAUGGGGUAACCUGAUCGAGGCAAUACUCGAUCGUUCAUACCUGAAUACAUAGGGUAUGAAACGCGAAACCCGCUGAAGUGAAACAUCUCAGUAAGCGGAGGAAAAGAAAGAGAAAUCGAUUCCGUAAGUAGUGGCGAGCGAAAGCGGAUGGAGCCCAAACCGAAGGUAUUCCUUCGGGGUUGUAGGACCACGUCAUAUUCGACCAUACUGGAUAGUAGAACAGCCUGGAAAGGCUGGCCGGAGAAGGUGAAAGCCCUGUAGACGAAAUCCAGAGUGGGAAUUAGUGGUAUCCUGAGUAAUACAUCACACGUGGAACGAUGUAUGAACCCGCGCGGACCACCGCGCAAGGCUAAAUACUAGUUGGCGACCGAUAGUGAACAAGUACCGCGAGGGAAAGGUGAAAAGAACCGCUGUGAGCGGAGUGAAAUAGAACCUGAAACCGUAUGUCUACAAAGUGUCAGAGCAGAGCAAUCUGCGAUGGCGUGCCUUUUGUUUAAUGAGUCUGCGAGUCAGUGUUUGUGGCAAGACUAAGGGCUUCCGGCCCGGAGUCGCAGCGAAAGCAAGUCCGAACAGGGCGCAAUAAGUCGCAGGUACUGGACCCGAAGCGGAGGUGACCUACCCUUGGCCAGGUUGAAGCAUGGGUAAAACCAUGUGGAGGACCGAACAGGUGAACGUUGAAAAGUUCUCUGAUGAGCUGAGGGUAGGAGUGAAAGGCUAAUCAAACCCCGUGAUAGCUGGUUCUCUUCGAAAUGCAUUUAGGUGCAGCGUCACGUGCUGAUGCGCGGGGGUAGAGCACUGACAAGGCUAGGGGGCACACCCGCUUACCAAACCUUAUCAAACUCCGAAUACCGUGCAAUGGAACGUGGCAGUGAGACAGUGGGGGAUAAGCUUCAUUGUCGAGAGGGAAACAACCCAGACCAGCAGCUAAGGUGCCUAAAUAACGCUCAGUGGAAAGGAUGUGGGAUUACACAGACAGUGAGGAUGUUGGCUUAGAAGCAGCCACCAUUUAAAAAAUGCGUAAUAGCUUACUCAUCGAGUGAUCCUGCGCCGAAAAUGAUUGGCGAUCAAGCGUUAUACCGAAGCUCUGGACUUUGCCGCAAGGCAGAGUGGUAGAAGAGCGUUGCAUGCGCGUCGAAGGGCGAUGGCGACUGACCCUGGAGCACAUGCAAGUGAGUAUGCAGACAUGAGUAACGUUAAGCCGGGUGAAAUCCCCGGCCGCCGUAAACCCGAGGUUUCCAGGGCAACGUGUUUCGUCCCUGGGUUAGCCGGGACCUAAGCCGAGGCCGAGAGGCGUAGGCGAUGGACAUCAGGUUAAUAAUCCUGAGCUCGCAACCCUUAAACUGGGGGGACGCAUGAGAAAAGAUGACUAGGUUAUUGAAUUCCGAGUUGAGUCUACGGACUCAGCGCAUCAUUGGAUCGAGUGCCAAGAAAAGCCCCAGCGUAUGCUAAGCGACCCGUACCGCAAACCGACACAGGUGGGUGGGUAGAAUAUACCAAGGCGUAAGAGUGAAACCUGGUUAAGGAACUCGGCAAAUUAGCCCCGUAACUUCGGAAGAAGGGGUGCCUGCAGCGAUGCAGGCCGCAGAGAAAUGGCCCAACCGACUGUUUAUCAAAAACACAGCACUCUGCAAAGACGCAAGUCGAAGUAUAGGGUGUGACACGUGACCAAUGCCGAAAGAUUAAGGCAAGGGGUUAGCCGCAAGGCGAAGCUCUAAACCCAAGUCCCGGUGAAUGUCGGCCGUAACUAUAACGGUCCUAAGGUAGCGAAAUUCCUUGUCGGGUAAGUUCCGACCUGCACGAAUCGUGAAACGAGUUGGGCACUGUCUCAACCAGGCGCUCAGUGAAAUUGUAGUGGCGGUGAAGAUGCCGCCUACCCGCAGAAGGACGGAAAGACCCUAUAGACCUUAACUGUAAGCUGUCAUUGUUUCUUCGGUUUUAAUGCUCAGAGUAAGUGGGAGACGCUGAAGACGCCCUUUAGGGGGCGUCCGAGUCAUCAAUGAGACACCACCCUUUGAAACUGGAGGAUCUAACCCUGAGCCGUGAAUCCGGCCAGAGGACCGUGUCAGCCGGUCAGUUUUACUGGGGCGGUAUCCUCCCAAAGAGUAACGGAGGAGCGCGAAGGUGGGCUCAGCCCGGUUGGCAACCGGGUGUCGAGUGCAUGGGCAUAAGCCCGCCUAACUGUGAGACCAACAAGUCGAGCAGAUGCGAAAGCAGGCCCAAGUGAUCCGGCGGUAGAAAGUGGAAUUGCCGUCGCUCAACGGAUAAAAGGUACCUUAGGGAUAACAGGCUGAUCACGCCCAAGAGUUCAUAUCGACGGCGUGGUUUGGCACCUCGAUGUCGGCUCGUCGCAUCCUGGGGCUG